rnacentral:rRNA from 1 species
UACGUAGGUGGCAAGCGUUGUCCGGAUUUACUGGGCGUAAAGAGCGCGCAGGCGGUCGUUCAAGUCGAGUGUGAAAGCCCCCGGCUCAACUGGGGAGGGUCACUCGAUACUGAUCGACUCGAAGGCAGGAGAGGGAAGUGGAAUUCCCGGUGUAGUGGUGAAAUGCGUAGAUAUCUGGAGGAACACCGGUGGCGAAGGCGGCAUCCUGGACCAACACUGACACUGAUGAGCGAAAGCCAGGGGAGCAAACGGG